AAAUAAAAAGGUUGGUGUAGUUGGAGGAAAACAGUUUGUAAAGCACUAUGGUGCUAUUAUCAUUGCAUAAAUGUGAGCAUUGAGUAUGUUAGGAAAGACCUUAUUAAAUUUGGUGCUUUAGCGCUGAGGGUGACCCUUAACUGAGAGGUAGACAGGGGACUACCUCUGGCUGAACACUGUUGACCCUAGCAUUACAAACCCCACUCCUGGUUUGCAGUGGCAUUCACACUUGUUUAAGGUAGAGGGGUCUAUUCCACCUCUCUUAGCAAAGGAACUCCCCCUCCAGCAAAGGUGUCCAACGUGGCUGAUGUCACCCACUUUAAAAUCGGUAAAUGUGGGAGUAUUCAUGGAAAGGAGGAGGUUAACAUUCUCUUGAAGAUAUUCAGGGAAACUCUUCCAACUGGGAAUUGAGAUGGGCAGCGAGCUAUGAUUUAAACAGCUAAUGGGUGUUAAUUAAAUACGCCACAUGGAAAGCUGGCUGGCUGGAAUACGGAUCAACUCUUCCUGUCUCUGGGUACACACCUAAGUCCUGUGGACACAAUAGUCCCACACCCCAAGUAAAGUAAGAGAGUUGAAGAUUAGAACUCGAUGACUGCAGUAUCCUGGGGGUAGGAAGAUGCCUGGUGGCCGAAGGGAUCUGUUCUGUUUUCUGUAAGCAGAGAUCCUACUACCAUCAUCUUAUUUUGUGGCAACAGAGACAAACAAAGUGGGAAUUUCCUGACCAGUGUGAAUGACAAAAAAAAUGAGGCAAAUUAUUGAGAAACUGAUGGGUGUUCAUUGAAGAGCAACAAAUAUGAUUUAUAAGCCUGAAGGACUGCCUUUAGGGGAAGAUGAAAGAGACAAGUCUCCCAGCAUGACCAUCAGCUCUAACUAACAGGGACUGGCUCAUCGGCCCCAAGUACUUGGAGGGUGUAAAUAGCAGGGAUGGAGAGAAAUUAUUUGGUGUGGUCCAGUGGGACAGGAGGACGAAUGAUGGAAAUGAAAGUCAAAACAAAGAUGAUUUAGAUGGCUGAGCAAGUCUCAUGCCCUAAUGGAGAGCUCUAUUAUAGACUGUGCUGCCCUGUCCCCUGGGAGGUGUGGAAGCCCCAUCACUUUUGCCAUUUACAAUUGGAAAAGGCACUAAAAAGUAGAUCAGCAUAUUGGAGAGGGGAAAACCCACCACAUGCCCUCAGAGGAUCAGGGGGAUGACUUAAUAGGUCUUUUCCAUCUCAAAUUACUGCAAUGUGGCUUAUGUGCUUGGGGACCUGAGCUGCUAGAAUAAUUUUCCAUCACCUGGGCUGCUUUUCUGUUACUACAGGGCCUCGGUGAAGAUGUAAUAGGUAUCAGAGAGCAGCUUCUGUGUUCUAAAUCGAAGCCUGCUAUGUAUGGAUGCUUUAGUGUGAAGGCAGAAUUGACUAGGUUAGGUCUCACGUUGUGACGUCGGUGUGCGUAAGUACAUACACAUACUGAUUGAGACCCAAAACAGCAUAUACCCACUGAGACCCAAGACGAAGGGAGAGGAGCUUGGCUGCAUUUGAAUGGUAGUUGCAUAAAUGAAAAGUUCAGGUAGUUUAUUCCCUAAGCUAGGAAAGUGUUUGAAUAAAACUCUCUCUUUAAAAAAAAAAAAAGAAAAAAAGAAAAAAAAUUAUUUGGCCUUCAAAAACUAGUAAGAAACAUUUACUGGGUAGGAACUGGAGGACCCAUGUUUUGAAUAUUGUUGAUACUAUAUUUCUGUCCACAGCUGCAGUUGUAUUAGCAACUGACACAUUCUGAAACUCUUGGUGGCCCAGAAGGACACACGUGGGCUGGAAGCAGGGGCAGUCUGGGGUAACAACUGCAGUGGCAAGGCAGGGGCACGACUUGGUCAGAUGGAAACUGGGGAAGGCAGAGAAGGGCUGGUGUCCCUGUGAUUGCUAGAAGGAGCACAGCUGUGACCAUAACAACCCUCUCAGCUAGAGGAUGACACAGAAGCAGAAGGACAAAAAUGAUGUGAAAAGAAAGCAUGUUGCUCCCAGUAUUUGCUGGGUAUCGUCUUAUGAUCCUGAGAGAAGCCAUCCUGUCCUUCUAGCUACAUGAAAUACUACACUUCUCGAUUAUUUAGGUGGGGAAUACUGAAACCCAAAGAAUGGAGUCUAACUCUGGGAUUGUACUCUGAUUCACUAUUCUAUGCUGCCCCGUAAACCUGACACCGUCUAAGGAAACUUCGCUUCAUACUUUAUCUCAUACUCUCCCCUGUGGCACCACCCUUCUGCGUCAGUAAGACUCCCUGACACUUAACUUGGGUAAGGAAAGCAGUGGUUAACUGAUUCAUUUGGUUAAUUGAUGGUUAACUUUGUGAUGCCCUAAAAUUUGCUUGAGUGACGAUUACCUCUGAAAGACAGAGUUACAGCCUGCGAGCCUGGGCUUCAGGUAUGGUCAACUAUCUCGCACGAUCUUGCAAUGAUGAGGCUUUAGAAGUGCAAUACAAUUUUUUUAAACCACAAAUCUGCAGCAGAGUAAUAACCCAGAGAUUUUCAGACAUGGAGAACAUUUAACAGAGCUUUGGCCAAAACAGGUGUUCAAGAAGUAUUCAUUGACAUAAAUGAAAUGGUCUGAUAGUUCAAAAGUGCUCUUCGAUAAGAAGCCAGGGAAUUAGAAUUUAUUAAGCAGGCUAAUCAGGUUUCAGUUAGGCAAUGACAAAGAUGCCAAUGCGAAGUUACUCAGAGAUCUUCUGGUGACUAAAUAACCUUAUGCUAGAAUCUGAAUACAUUUUUCUUUCAGAGCAAAACCGCAACUAAGUUGAAAGCACAGAAUACUGGUUUUGGUUCUCAAUGUCAAUAGGCAUGAAGCAGAGGUUUAAAGACAAACAAAUAAACAUGUACACCCAUGGAGAUUUAUCCAACUGAAAAUGGUACACACCUCUUUUUCAUCUGCUUCAGUGGCCCUUUUGCACACUUGAUUUCUGCAGGGUCUUUGUAGGUAUGAUGUACAACGGACUGUAUGAGGUACAUUGACUCAGACUUGCGAGUUCACUGUGGCACUGGCUGCCCAGGCCCUGGUUAACUAAAAUGCCACUAUAUUGCUUCCUUAUUUCCUUCCUUCAACAGCUAAAUCUGACACUGAUUUCAUGUAAGCAUUGUUUUGAGGCUCUGGGAUUUCAGCAAUAAAUAAGACCGUGAAAAUCGCAGCUUUCAUUAAUCUUCUAUUCUUCCAGUAAUUACCUAUACCUUGCCAGAUACAGCACAUCUAAGCAACUGCUGAAUGUAAAUGUUCGACAUAUUAGAAAUUGGGAAUUAAAAAUUUAAGAAGUAGCAAUAAUAUUCAUGGUUUGAAGACAAUCUUCAGAUACUUAUCAUGUACUUAAUUUUCGUGCAAGAAAGUCUUGUAUUAAAUAGCUAAAAGGGACAAAACACAUACAGAAAGAUAUUUAGGAAUCACGUGGGAAUAAAAGGCACAACACAGGGAAUACAGACAGUGGUGCUGUAAUCGUGUUGUGUGGUGACAGAUGGAGGCUCCACAUACGGUGGGCACAGUAUAAUGUAUAGACUUGUCAAAUCACUCUGAAAUGAAUGCAACAUCGUGUUUGUCAACUACACUCAAAUUAAAAAUUUUAAAUAAAAGAUACUUAGGAAUCACUAAAAAGUAAGAGGAAAAAUGUUUUGAAUCACUUAAAUAAUUUAAAAUGUGUCUUCCGUCAGGAAUGGAUGCUCACAACAGACAAUAUAAAGGAAAAACACUGAAUACAUAACUGGGUUUUGAGGAAAGGCCUAAUACAUAAUAGAGCUAAGAGCUCCUUUAGGAUUUGGGAAUCAGACUCAUCACUGAGCUGGCCUAAUGGGACUGAUUAAAGAUAAACCUGAGGGGGUGCCUGGCUGGCUCAGUCGGUAGAACAUGCGACUCUCGAUCUCCAGGUUGUGAGUUUGAGCCCCGUGUUGGGUGUAGAGAUUACUUAAAAAUAAAAUCUUUCAAAAAUAAUAAUAAAUAAAGAUAACCUGAAAAACUAAUAGAAGCCAUGGAAGAACUUGGUGAGAACAGUUCAAUGCAGGGAGAUGGGAGUGAUUUUACAUACACACUCCCGUUAAUCCAGCAUUAAAAGAAUAAAGAACUUGCCCAAAGUUAUGGUGUUUCAGGGCUAGAAUAAUGAAUUAGGCAACAAAUUAUUCUGUCUUAGGUCUAACCUAAAUGUUCACUCCUGUACACAACCAGCAUUAAACAUUUAUUGAGUGAUUGACCUAUGCCAGGCACAGUGCUAGGCACAAGGAACACAAUGCUGAAUCAACCAGGAUUCCCUACUUCAUGAUGGUUUUGGUCAUGACACAAGGAGCUAGAACACAGGCACGUAACGACAUUGAGGAAGCAGAAGAGAGGACCUUGCCUGAAGGAGACAAAGAUGGCAUCAAAAAUGAAAGAUACUUGAGCAGAGGUCUGAGGAUGAAUCGGGAUCUUCCAGAUGAACAUGAGGGGUAAAAGAUAAAGAAGGCUCUCCAGGAAGAGAAGAGAAUUGCACAUAUAAACUCCAAGGAAGGGAAUACGUUCACGGCAUGGUAAGAAACUCUCUAUGGUGACACAGAAUGACCUGGAUGUGUAUACGCAGCAAGGCAGAUCAUAAAGGGACAUGCACCUCAAAGUUACUGGAUUUUAUCCUGGAAGCAGCUGAAGAGCCCCUAACGCCAUCAGGUAAGGCAGCUCUGUGGUCAUAUCUGUGGGCAAAUGGACUGAAUGACGGUAAGACUGAGGACCAGGAGGCCAUUUCAGAAACCCUUCGCAAUAGUCAAUGUGAGAGAGAAUUAGCCCUGAACUACUGCAGCUGCAGCGGGGAGGGGGAGGACAGGGCAGGUAAGUGAGGUGGAAGCAAAGCAACUGGGUGACCAACUGGGUUCAGAGUGGAGGAAGAGGAAGAAGUCAAGGAAAAUUCCCUAGCUUCUGACUUGAGAAGAUACCUGCCUCCAUAUCACAUCGUUCUGUCAGCUUUCAAUUUUGGAUUCUGGCUUCCUGAGGUUGGUCACUGCUGCUUUGCCACAUUCCCUUUGUCCUAAAGAAAUGUCCCUAGGCGCUAUUGACUCUAGAGGCAGAAAUACAGAGGCAGCUGCCCCCACCUCUGAGUGGUGGUGAUGAGGGGGAAGCACCACCUGUGCCUCUCCCAGCCUCCUCUAUACAGCCCUCAGCAACCGACAGCAGCGACCCUUUACGUGAUGCUCUGUUUAAUUCUGUACAUAAAUAAUAAGGUCAAAAUACAGUUAUUACAGACCCCAGUAGUACAAGGCAUUAUGGAAAAAUAAAAGCCAAGUACAAGAGCAGGUUUCUUGAGAGUUCUAUAGGAAUGCCAUACGGUGCAAAGCAAAGAUUUUGUGGUUUGUCAGGUGUGAAUCUGACUUCUGGCUCCAUUACUGAUACUGGCUGUGUGACCCUGGAAAAUGGAUAUUCUUGAGACUUGGUGGCCUCCUCAGUAAAACAGAUAACAUAGCCUAUCUCAUCUGUAGAAAUUAAUGAGGUAAUAUAUGUAAAACUCCUGUUAGCACCAUGCCUAACAUCAUAGAUUCAAAAGAUAAUAAUAAAUAUCCUUAUUUCACAUUCCCCUUGACUACUCAAAGACCUCCUGCCUCCAAAGAGAGUCCAGUUAUCAACAAUGGGUAUUUCUCUACUUCCCUCACUCCCAUCCACACUGAUGUCUAUUGUUAGGAAAACGAAGUUUCUAAAAGCAAAAGAGGAUCAUACCUAUGUCAGAAACUGUUACAGUCCAUCCAAUACUCAUCUUUCCAUUUCCUCCUCAUUAAUGAAAGCUGAUUUUGCUGGGGGUAGCAAAGUACCAAGUUAAAAACAUUUCCCAGGCUCCAUUGUUUUGCUAGAGAGGUUUUGGAACGUUUCUGGUCACAAGUACUUUCAUUCUCCCUUCAUUCUCCUUCCUUUUUCCAACUUCCUAAAAACUGGAUACUGGUGGCUGGAGCUACAGUAGCCAUCUUGCAAACUAUGAGGAAAAGAUCAAGACUCAUAGGACAUCGGUCUUGACAAACUUGAGUUCCUGAAACAGUGCUUCCAUCACCUUCCCAGAGAUUUUUCAUCACAAGGGACAAAUAAAGCCCUAAUUUAAGCUGCUGCCUUUCAGGUGUUUAUAACUUUCAUUUGAGCACAAUUCCUGAUUUAAUCCCUUCAACCCUACUUUAGUAUGAUUUUCAAGGCAUUAACCAUAAUUUCCUUCCAACUGAAAAAGAAACAAACAUUUAUUGAGUGUCCAGUAUAUGUCAGACACUGUGUAUAUAGGACAUAUAAAUAAAAAUUAUAUUGACUCAUUUAAGUCUUACAGUAACCCUGCAACGUAAGUACUUCCAUUCACAUUUUAUAGCAAGGGGAUCCGAAGAUCUAAGAUGCUAAGUAUUAUCUAAAGCACCAUGCUGAUUCCUGGAGAAGCCAAGAUCCGAGCUCCAGGUCUGUCUGGUGAUAGCGUUUACCCUUUGGCCACACUCCAUGCUUCUGCAGGGGUCCUGUGAAUUCACCACUGUGAGAAAUCAUGACUCCCAAGACAGUGUCUCUAAAUGAGGCAGUCACUUUUCCUAGGUCUUCCAUACUUAUAUCUAAAAUCCAACUAGUAAACCAUCUAAAAAGUAUGUCUAGAGAAUGGAAAAAAAAAAGUGUGUGUAGAAGGAGGUGACAGAGUGACUGAUGGAGCAAGUAGCGUGAGUUACAAGUGCUGAAGGCACACUCUGCCUGAGAGCAGCUGACGCUCUGGAAAGGAGGCUCCUUUUACCUCUCUCCUCCAGUCAACAACCCUGAAGAAAUCACACUGACUGGAGAUCAGGGUGUGAGGCUGAGGCAUGGUAGGGACAUUAAGUAAGGUGCCCCGUGUCCAUACAUUGUCACAGUAAAAAACGCAUGUAUAAUUUUAUCACAUAUUAAAAAAAAAAAGGAGGAAUGAAAGAAAAUUAAAAUUGUAUGUGUGUGUGUAUACAUAUAUAUCUUAUAACCUAGUAUGUAUGUGUAUCUCUUACAACCUAGCAAAAAGCACACAUGAAAUAUAGACUUAUAUAAGCAUUACAUAAAUACACUUACAUGUGUGCAAAUUUUAACCCUUUCCUCUACACACUGACUCUGAAGCAGCUAACAAGAUUCACAAUACAUUUAAAAAUGAUGUACAGGAAAAAUAGAGAAGCGUGGAAAAGAGGAAAAUAAGUAUGCAAAUAUAUAUUCUACAGAAUUCUCAAUAAUUCCUAAAAUGGAGCUGUACAUUUAGAUCUGAGCUUCCUCCUGCCAAAGGAAAACAGAAAAAAACGAUGAGGCACAGACUUCACAAUGGCCCUGAGAUAAAGGGAAUAUUACCACCUUAGGAGAAGCAAAAUAUUUUCAGUUCAUACAAAAGCAAUAAGAAACCAGAAGACCUGAGUGGGACUUGACACGGGGGGAACUGUGUAAUGUAGUAGACAAUGUCUUAGUAAUUCCCUCAGAAUAAACGUCAUAGAGUAUUCCACACAACAGUUUCUCUGAGUCACUCAGUCAAGCUGAAAAGCGGUUCAGGGCCGGCAAUCUGUGCAGGAUGAAGGCAAUGAGAGAGAGAUACACUCUGACAGACUGGCUGGAUCUAGCAACGAAUCCCAGAACAUCUAGGUGAACAAACAGCAUGUUCUGGCAAUUACUCUCCAACCAAAACCAGCUUAAGAAGUAGGAUUAUGCAACAGUCCACACACACUUUUCAGUUCAGAAGUUCUGAGCAAGUUUUUAUGGGCUUUUUAUUACUAUGUCAACGAUACUUCCGUCCACCAUGGCUGUGCCCUCAGGUAGAGUAUAUGCCAGUCUCUCCAAGUGGCAUAAAAAGGGAGAAAAAUGUGGGGUUGCUAUUAAUUUAAAAAAACUUACAGCUUUUGGGUUUUACAUUAGGAGGUCCUAGUACAUAUACUCUCUAGUAUAUAACUGGUGGUUACAUAUAAUAGAGAAGAUUUACCCAUAAUCACACCCAUAAUGAUUUCUUAACUAAUUUAAAAGGCAAUGUGUGAAAGGCAAGUGCCUAAGGAUAUGACAUCCUAAAAGUGGACAUUAAACAAUCCUUGAAUGCGUGGAAAUUAAUGUUAAUUAUUGAACAGGGUAGAACACAGAAGUUCAUUUGAAAAAAAAAAAAAA